AUUGAACGCUGGCGGCAUGCCUUACACAUGCAAGUCGAACGGUAACAGGUCUUCGGAUGCUGACGAGUGGCGAACGGGUAAGUAAUACAUCGGAACGUGCCUAGUAGUGGGGGAUAACUACUCGAAAGAGUGGCUAAUACCGCAUGAGAUCUACGGAUGAAAGCAGGGGAUCGCAAGACCUUGUGCUACUAGAGCGGCCGAUGGCAGAUUAGGUAGUUGGUGGGAUAAAAGCUUACCAAGCCGACGAUCUGUAGCUGGUCUGAGAGGACGAUCAGCCACACUGGGACUGAGACACGGCCCAGACUCCUACGGGAGGCAGCAGUGGGGAAUUUUGGACAAUGGGCGCAAGCCUGAUCCAGCAAUGCCGCGUGCAGGAUGAAGGCCUUCGGGUUGUAAACUGCUUUUGUACGGAACGAAAAGCCCUGGGUUAAUACCCUGGGGUCAUGACGGUACCGUAAGAAUAAGCACCGGCUAACUACGCGCCAGCCGCCGCAGUAACAC
rnacentral:rRNA from 1 species